rnacentral:tRNA from 3 species
GCCGGCCUAGCUCAAUUGGUAGAGCAACUGACUUGUAAUCAGUAGGUUGGGGGUUCAAAUCCUCUGGCCGGCACCA